UACGUAGGGGGCGAGCGUUGUCCGGAAUCAUUGGGCGUAAAGCGCGUGUAGGCGGCUCAGUCAGUCUGGUGUGAAACCUUGGGGCUCAACCCCAAGCCUGCACUGGAUACUGCUGAGCUUGAGUCCGGGAGGGGAGAGCGGAAUUCCUAGUGUAGCGGUGAAAUGCGCAGAUAUUAGGAAGAACACCGGUGGCGAAGGCGGUUCUCUGGGCAUUACCUGACGCUGAGGAGCGAAAGUGUGGGGAGCGAACAGG
rnacentral:rRNA from 1 species